GUGUUCCCUUCCACGGCCUGAAUGAGGCGAGGCGGUACGGUAUCCACACGUGCAGGAAUGAAGGCCUGAUAUCCAUGUUUUCUUCUGGGUUGGCGCGUCACGAAGCUAGUGAGGAGGUGACUGGCUUGUGACUAACGCGGUGGGUGUGGCACUGACGAGGAGACCCUGCAAGUCACUGAGGAACUCCGCUGGAGGAAAAAAAAAAAAGAGCGAGAGGUGGAGAGUUUGAGAGCUACUAUAAAUGUGUGAAGCAAAGUCCUAAGUCCGAGGAAUACCUGAGGAUGUAGUGACCAUACCACUAACUGACGCGAGGAUAAACUUGGAAGGGUGACUGGCAGGGCAGGGCGUAGGCUAAGCAAGACCACGGGAGCCUCACAGAACUGGCCAGCUGCGGGACGAUCAACACAACUCAUACCGCUGGAAUGCUCCUCAGAUUCAGUCUUCCAGCCUUCACUGCACACUGACAGAUGUUUCCACAAGAAGCCUCCUGCAGGAGGCAAGUCUUCACAAAGUGACUUCUACCUAUUUCACAGUACACAUAUAAGUUGAAAAGGAUGACCAGUCUACUGAGGGGAAAAGGAAGACCCACAGUCACCUCACACAAGAUAAAUGUCUCAGCCGCCUCACCUGCUCAUGACGCUCAGGUUCAU